AGUUCCGUGCGGGGCCAGCUGGCGGCGGCGCUUCCGGGCCCCCGUGGCCGCCACGGCCUGGCCGGCCUGGGAUGACAAUACUUGAGGAAUCCUCGCUGGUGCUGCCCUCCUGCCCUCUGCUUGGAACCCCUCCCCUAAGUGUCAGUGAGUGGACGUAUAUAUUUGGAUCAAUCGAGUUGCACCCUUUGCCUCCCAGAUCAGUUCCUCCGGCCUCCCUGGCUGAGCAGAAGGACAGCUCUGGACACUUGUGUCAGCACCCAGCCCACGUGUCCCUGCCACAGCUUCAUAUAAGAGAAAGGAUAACAAACAGCACUUCCCCAUGGCAGAUGCUUCACAGUCCAAGACUCGGGGCCUUGAAUGGUGAGUCACAAACUUUGCAAAACGCGUGGGCCAUGACAGCCCCAGAGGCCAACAGCAGGUCCACGGCCGAGCCACAGGAGUCCUGUGGCACAGGAGUCAGGGCCCAAGGAGCACACGUUUCAGAUAGGCCAGGGUGGUGGCGUUGGCCAGCAUCUCGAUGUGCUCGCUGCCUGGCAGCUCCUGCAGCAACACUUGGUGCUCCUGGCGGCUCUGCCAGGCCUGGCACUGCAGGGCACUCUUCAAGUUCACAGUACCAUCGCCGUCACCAAAGCAGAUUUUAGGGUCACGGUCAGGGAAGCUCUCAUAGUAGAAGGAGUCUGGUGUGGGGACGCCAGUACCAUAGAGGCAGUGCAGCUGCACGCCAGGUGGCAUCGUGGCUUCCACCAGCCCUUCUGUGUCCUGCCGCAUGAGCCAGCCAUCUUCAAAGCCGAUGUCCUGGAAGAACUUGCGGUAGUCCCGCAGUGUGUAGUUGAUUGUGGGUGUCUGCACGAACACCUUCUCAGGUGACCAUGUGUAGUUGUAGGGCAGCAGCCAGCUGGUGGAGACAGCUGACCGCUGCUGCUCCCGGAUCUUCAGGGGCCCGAUGACUGGGAUCCGGUUGUUGUCUCCUGCAGGGAGAAGGCUCUGGUCAGUCUGUGCUUAGGAAUGCCAGCUGGUUGGGCAGCAUGUUCACCACCAGGCCCCUGCCAGACCCCAGCCAGGGGCCCAGUCCACAGUCCCGCAUCUCUACCCGGUUAUCAUCAUUGUAAUCACUGUGACUCCCAUCCCUGCCUUGGCUCUUUUUUUUUCUUUUUGAGACAGGGUCUCACUCUGUUGCCCAGGCUGGAGUAUAAUGGCAUGAUCACGGCUCACAGCAGCCUCAACCUCUCAGGCUCAACCAAUCCUCCCGCCUCAGCCUUUGGAGUAGCUGGGACUACAGGUAUGCGCCACCAUGCCUCAUGCCUGGCAAAUUUUUCCUUUUUUUUUUUUUUGAAGUAGGGUCUCAUUCUGUCACCCAGGCUGGAGUGCAGUGGUACAGUCUUGGCUCACUACAACCUCCACCUCCUGGGUUCAAGUGAUCCUCCUAUGUCAGCCUCCUGCAUAGCUGGAACUACAAGCACGUCCCACCACGCCUGGGCUAAAAAUGUUUCCACUUUUUAUACAGAUGGGGUCUUGCUAUGUUGCCCAGUUUGCUUGCCUUGGCUUUUAUUGUUUCUCUUUAUUUUUGCUACAUCUGGGAACCACACAUCCAAGCUAUGUUUUGUUUUUUUUGCUUUCCUCACCAGGGAGUAAGGCGGCACAUACCCACAGGGUGAUUUAUGAUGCUUCCUUGCCUGUAAACUCUACCAUCCUCCAAGUGCUGAUCAGGCCUGUGGGCACUGACCUAGUCUAAAGUGAGUCAGCAGGUUGGCAACUCGGAGAUGACAUGUUCUGCUUUCCCUUUUAUGACACUGAACUGUGUACCAGUUUUUCUUUUCCUAAGCUCAGACCAGCGUUCAGCCAGCCGUGGCCUCAUUCCACCCACUUGCAUGUGCGCUGACCUGGGCAGCCAGGCGUGCUGGAGACAGGGCACGAGGGGAGGCUGCAGAUGGAGGCGGAGUCCCUAUACACAGGAAUGUGAACAACACAAACACCCGGCAGUCAGGGAGGCCUCCAGGAAGUAAAAGCUGCAACUUGGGAACAGGGGCCUCUGGCCUGUUCAGGAUCCAUGGUCACCCAUCACCCCACCCUGUAUCUGAAAGCAGGGAGGCCUCUCAGACUGACUGUAGGGCCUCAGCUCUGCCUGCUGUGGCCUGGCUGGGGGACCCCUGAGGCAAGGAAAGCCCCUAGGGGUGCACGGACUUCCACCUCCCCGCACCACACACCCAGUCCUGGACUGCCAAGGCAGGACAGAACAGCUUCCCAGCCUUUGAAACAAAGCUCUAAGGGGACUCACAGAGAAACUCUGAAAGGGGCCGGGGCUACCUGUCUAAACUCAGGGUAUGCCCACAUCCGUCCCUCCAGGCCCAGGCUAGACCGAAGUGGUGGCUAUAAUGAGUCCUCACUAAAUCUGAGUGUCUUCCAGCCAACUCAGAGUCACUGGGCCUGACCCAAUCACAAUGCCAGUAGACCAAGCAGGUCAAGCAGUGGCAGGCACUUGAGCUCAUGAGAUGCUUGGCACAGCCCUGGCUCAUAGCUCCCAAAGUGAGGGUCCAUAAGCCUCCCCCAAGUCCUAGCAGAGGGAGGAAAGCUCCCUUCUAGAGGAAGAAGCUCUACUCUACAGCUGCAGCUGGUGAGCUGCAACAGUCAUGAAAAGACGGGGGAGGAGCCAUAAAAGGGGUGGCUUUCCCAAUUGCCAGGCAAGCAGGCCCAGCCAGAUCUGCACCUGCUUCCUCCCUGUGUUGCCUACAGAGGCUCCGUGCUGCCCACAGAUGGAGGCGCAACUCAUAAAUAAAAAACUGUAGUCUAGAGGCCAGGUGCAGUGGCUCAUCCUUGUAAUCCCAGAACUUUGGGAGGUCAAGGUGGGCAGAUCAUUUGAGGUCAGGAGUUCAAGACCAGCCUGACCAAAAUGGUGAAACCCCAUCUCUACUAAAAAUACAAAAAAAUCUGGCCGGGUGCGGUGGUUCAUGCUUGUAAUCCCAGCACUUUGGGAGGCUGAGGCAGGCAGAUCCUCCUGACUUGAGGUCAGGAGUUAGAGACUAGCCCGGCCAACAUAGUGAAACCCAGUCUCUACUAAAAAUACAAAAAUUAGCCGGGUGUGGUGGUACGCGCCUGUAGUCCCAGUUACCCGGGAGGCUGAGGCAGGAGAAUCACUUGAACCUGGAAGGUGGAGGUUGCAUGAACCAAAAUCACGCUACUGCACUCCAACCUGGAUGGCAGAGUGAGAAAGACCCUGCCUCCAAAAAAAAAAAAAAAAUGCUCUAGCCUUCCUCCUCUGCGGUGAAGGUGGGGAUGAAGAAGUAAGGAUGGGGUAAGAGGGAGGGAUGGCCAGGCACAGUGGCUCACACUUGUAAUCCCAGCACUUUGGGAGGCCGAAGCGAGUGGAACAUCUGAGGUCAGGAGUUCAAGACCAGCCUGGCCAACAUGAUGAAACCUCAUCUCUACUAAAACACAAAACUUAGCCAGGCAUGGUGGCGGGCACCUGUAAUCCCAGCUACUCAGGAGGCUGAGGCAGAAUCGCUUGAACCCGGGAGGCAGAGGUUGCAGUGAGACAAGAUUGCACCACUGCAUUCCAGUCUGGGUGACAGAACCAGACUCUGUCUCAAAAAAUAAAAAUUAAAAAAAAAACAGGGCUGACCCAAGAGAAUAGUCAUUGUGGAGACCAAAGCAACUCCAUUUUGGAUACUAAUCCACCAUGUUGGCUUCUGAUUAACCCCAGAUCCAGGAAGGCCACUGAGAUUUCCACUUUAUCUACUGUUUCUUGUGCACGUACUUAACCAUAAAUCAAAACAGCCUCUGUGUUAUCAUCCUUCAAUGUUCAACACAUCGCAUCGGAGUCGCCCUUUCCCUACAGAAUAUAAGCUCUGGGUCUGGGGGCUAAUAGUGUGGGGAUCCACCAUCUUGUCUUGCCCCCACCUGAGACACAGAUGUGGCUUCUAUUCGUAUGUCCCUA
rnacentral:lncRNA from 1 species